UAUAUAUUCCCUCCGUCCGAAAAUACUUGUCAUCAAAAUGGAUAAAAUGAUAUGUAUCUAGAUGUUGAUGACAAGUAUUUCCGGACGGAGGGAGUAUUUA
rfam:Triticum urartu cultivar G1812 contig521707, whole genome shotgun sequence.